rnacentral:rRNA from 1 species
UACAGAGGUCCCAAGCGUUGUUCGGAUUCACUGGGCGUAAAGGGUGCGUAGGCGGUCGGGUAAGUCUGAUGUGAAAUCUCACAGCUUAACUGUGAAACUGCAUUGGAUACUAUCCGGCUAGAGGAAUGGAGGGGGAGACUGGAAUACUUGGUGUAGCAGUGAAAUGCGUAGAUAUCAAGUGGAACACCAGUGGCGAAGGCGAGUCUCUGGACAUUUCCUGACGCUGAGGCACGAAAGCCAGGGGAGCAAACGGG